GUACGGGUCUGGUUAAAUCUCGCUACGGUAUCCUCGCGCCCGGAUGCCGAUGAGGAAAUGAAGACGGCGAAUCGGGGAUGGGAGAUUUUGCACCCCAAGAAGGGCUCCAAAGCGCAUGCUCGGAUCAUUGCAAUUUCAGAGCUCGGGUCUUUUUCACCGCUUUCUCCGAUGCACGCCAAGAACGUGCCCGGGCAACUUUUCUGCCGUGCCCUCAUGACACUGUUUUGAUCUCGUCUCCAAAAACAUGUACCGUAUGAAGCAGGCAACAACCCGCAGCAGUUUAGGCUUUUGUGCAAUUUGACAUACUCCGUCAACCUCGGUAUUAAGAGGCAGUCUUGUUUUCCAGGGCCCUGUCCUGGCUGCAUCUUCCAAGUUCGGAGACCUGAAUCGACCUGAAACAGCAGAGUGGCUGAGGACUCCUUACUGAAAUAGAAGACGACCGUUUCUUUCUUUGCUGCUGCUUCAUGAUGCAAUUUACCUAGCUACUGUCAGUUGUUGUGCACACUUCUUGAAAGUGGAUGUAGCACUCAUCUGAAUGAAGUUAAACUAGUGUCAAAAAGGAAUCUCAUAGUUUUGCUACAAGAGUCCUGUACAGGUGUGUUCUUUUGGACAGCAGCUUAAUGCUAUUCCGAAUCAGACUAUCUUGGACAAAUUGUCAGGAUUAGUAGUGCUAGGCCCCUUUCAAAAGGAGCCUGAUCAUCAGCUUUGAGCAUGCCCAAGUAAUCUGUGCCAAACCAGAGUGGGCUUUGAUAAAUGGGUAAGGUUGCUACUCCAGCAAUCCGUAAAAAACUUACCUCGGAUUCACCUCUGUUCCACCUCAGCAUAUUUGGUAUACAUUUUCCUGCCAACUGAUGAAGUUUGGUGGAAAGGGAAGGAAACAAAGCCAUGGGAUCAAACAUGUCCUUAACAUGCCCUGUACACAGUACGCCUGCCAUAAAUGCAAAUGGCACACGGGGGGAGGGGGUCACAAGGAGCAGCAGAUUUUAUUUUGUUAAGAUUUUUUUGCUGCCUCAAGGACUGGUGGAUGGCACUAUGACUCUGCCAUGAAGAAGAGCCCCAUGUAUACAAAUUAGUGUUAAGCACCCACUAGCAAUAGCAUUUACUUACAUAUUGCUUCACAGUGCUUUACAGCCCUCUCUAAGUAGUUUACAGAGUCAGCCUAUUGCCCCAACAACCUGGGUCCUCAUUUUGCCAACCUUGGAAGAAUGGAAGGCUGAGUCAACCUUGAGCCAGUGAGAAGUGAACUGCUGGCAGCCAGCAGUCAGCAGAAAUAGCCUGCAGUACUGCAUAUCACUUAAGCCCAAAUUCUACCUCUUCUUUUUUUCUUCUGAGUAGACUGCUUGUGAGAAUGCAACUGCACAUAUCAAUCAGGAAGGAAAAGAGGUUAUUGAUAUAUUUUUCUGAAGAGACAUACAUACUAUAUAUGUGUGUUUAAUAAAGACAUUAUUAGUUACAGAUGGCACUUUAGGAAACUUAGAUAAACAAAUUGUGUUCUGUAAUUAUGAAAUAAAUAUGCAUUAACACAUCUAAGGAUGCUAAAGGCAAUGGCAAUUUACACUGCUGAUUGAUCCAGUGCAUCUUGCAAUACAGUAUCUCUUUCCCAUUUAAAAGAAUUCAAAGAGGGAAAUAUUAAUAUAAUCCUACAGCUAGACCUUGUUGGAGUAAAUUGUUCUAAUCUUCCAAUAUAUUUAUACAUGAAGAAUUUUUUUUACCUUUUUUACAGACUGAAACUUCAGAAACCUUCCAAAUUUGGUUGCAAAACUGUAAAUUUAAGUCCCACAAAAGGCAUAAUAAAUAUAUAAUAAAAUGUCAAUAUCUUGAA